rnacentral:rRNA from 1 species
AUUGAACGCUGGCGGCAUGCCUUACACAUGCAAGUCGAACGGUAACGGGCCUUCGGGUGCCGCCGAGUGGCGCACGGGUGAGUAAUACAUCGGAACGUGCCCGAUCGUGGGGGAUAACGAGGCGAAAGCUUUGCUAAUUCCGCAUACGAUCUACGGAUGAAAGCAGGGGACCGCAAGGCCUUGCGCGGACGGAGCGGCCGAUGGCCGAUUAGGUAGUUGGUGGGAUAAAAGCUUACCAAGCCGACGAUCUGUAGCUGGUCUGAGAGGAUGAUCAGCCACACUGGGACUGAGACACGGCCCAGACUCCUACGGGAGGCAGCAGUGGGGAAUUUUGGACAAAGGGCGCAAGCCUGAUCCAGCCAUGCCGCGUGCAGGAUGAAGGCCUUCGGGUUGUAAACUGCUUUUGUACGGAACGAAAAGCCUUCUUUUAAUACAGGAGGGUCAUGACGGUACCGUAAGAAUAAGCACCGGCUAACUACGUG